UGGGGGAUAUUGCACAAUGGGGGAAACCCGUGAUGCAGCGACGCCGCGUGAGGGAUGAAGGUCUUCGGAUCGUAAACCUCUGUCAGCAGGGAAGAACGGUCACUGUGCUAAUCAGCAGUGAAUUGACGGUACCUGCAAAGGAAGCACCGGCUAACUCCGUGCC
rnacentral:rRNA from 1 species